rnacentral:tRNA from 1 species
GCCAGCUUAGCUCAGUUGGUAGAGCAGCAGUUUUGUAAACUGCGGGUCACGGGUUCGAGUCCUGUAGCUGGCU